AAAUAUCCCAGAGUUCCCUGUCCUGACCACACGUGUUCAUUCAUUCUCUUUCCUCCUGCAUACGAGAACAGUCAGCAUGAAUGGAGGCAGCAUGAGUGUGUAUUGGCCAUCCGAACCCCCUGACUGAAGGGAAGCUCAUUGAUUACUAGAAUGUAUUAGUUAAAAAGCCUUACAUGUGGGAUAUGCCUAAAGGCCAGAGUCACGUGGAAUCAACCACUAACGGUUAACCAUGAACUAGUAAUGAAUGGUAAAGUCUGUCAGAGAAACAGAAGACUGUAGUCCGUUGCUUAAGUAGCAUUGAUCAUCUUACCUCUGGGACACAUGCAUGCAGUGAUUGUGGUGCCUUGGUCUCCCACCAUCAGAUGCUAUUCAGAUUUUUCUGAAAGAGGAUGUUUAUAUUGUCAUAUAAGCCAUAUUUAUAUUGUUUAAGUGUAGUGUCUUUCAAAUAAAUAAGAUUUUACCCAC